rnacentral:rRNA from 1 species
GAUGAACGCUGGCGGCGUGCUUAACACAUGCAAGUCGAACGGGAAUUACUUUAUUGAAACUUCGGUCGAUAUGAUUUAAUUCUAGUGGCGGACGGGUGAGUAACGCGUGGGUAACCUGCCUUGUACAGGGGGAUAACAGUCAGAAAUGACUGCUAAUACCGCAUAAGCGCACAGAGCUGCAUGGCUCGGUGUGAAAAACUCCGGUGGUAUAAGAUGGACCCGCGUUGGAUUAGCUAGUUGGUGAGGUAACGGCCCACCAAGGCGACGAUCCAUAGCCGGCCUGAGAGGGUGAACGGCCACAUUGGGACUGAGACACGGCCCAGACUCCUACGGGAGGCAGCAGUGGGGAAUAUUGCACAAUGGGGGAAACCCUGAUGCAGCGACGCCGCGUGAAGGAAGAAGCAUCUCGGUAUGUAAACUUCUAUCAGCAGGGAAGAAAAUGACGGUACCUGACUAAGAAGCCCCGGCUAA